AUGGCCUCAGUCUCCCAGGACGAACUUGCUCUCCUCUCUGGCAGGGAGCACGCGGCCCACCUCGCCAACUCCUGCCUCAGGGCCGACUUUGAGGCGGUCGCGCGCGUCCUUGAUGCGCGGGACCGCAAGCUCGCCAAGGACAAGGCCGCGCUAAAGGCCGUGCUCGCUGACCUUGACGCUGCGAGAGCGCAGGAGCGCGAGGUCGCUGAGGCCAAGUCCAAGUUGGAGGCCACCGUACUGCGGAAGAACUACGAGGCGGCCUUGGACUCGCGCCGCCGACCGCUGGACAGUGCCAAGGAGGUGGCGCGCCUGCUUGGGGGCUCGGUACGCCGGGAUGAGUCGCUAGUCGAGGAGGCGAAUGAGGGGGAGGUGGAAGACCUCGACGAUACUGACCUCUACGUGCCUGACUGCGUGUGGGAGAGGCGCGGUGGUGGUGGGAUGGAAUGCGACGGAGUAAGGAGAGGCACAAUGGCGGUGAGGCGGAAUGCGGCCGUGGCAGGGGAGGCGCGAAGGCGGGCGGCUGUUGCCGUGUUGGAGGAGAUGGGCCCUGCUCAGCUCGGGCAGGGUGAGGGAUCGAACAGGAAGACAGCAACGGGUUUGGAGAACCUCAAGAAGAGCCGAAAGAUGUCGCUAGGCUAUGCGGAGAAGCUGUCUUACCGAGAGGAUGUGGGCACUGUGGGCAUGCCUGAGAAGUUCGACUCCCCCAAACUCCUCCAAGGGAAGAUAGAAGAGCUUGCAGUUAUGGUGCAAAAGAGUAAGCAUCUAGUGGUGUUUACCGGAGCAGGAAUAUCAACUUCAUCAGGCAUACCUGAUUUCCGAGGCCCAAAGGGUGUGUGGACUCUGCAGCGUGCAGGAAAAGGUGUUCCUGAUGCUUCACUCCCAUUUCACCGAGCUGCUCCAACCUUGACUCAUAUGGCAUUGGUUGAAUUGGAAAGAGCAGGUCUCCUAAAGUUUGUCAUAAGCCAGAAUGUUGACAGCCUACAUUUGCGUUCUGGCUUCCCAAGGGAGAAGCUGGCUGAAUUGCAUGGGAAUUCUUUCAAGGAGGUCUGCCCAUGCUGUAAAACGGAGUACCUUCGUGAUUUUGAAAUAGAGACAAUAGGACUGAAGGAUACUCCGAGGCGUUGUGCAGACAAGAACUGUGGAGCUAGAUUAAAAGAUACAGUUCUUGAUUGGGAGGAUGCGUUACCCCCUGAGGAGAUGAAUUCUGCCGAGGAGCAGUGUCGAACAGCUGAUCUUGUCCUAUGUCUAGGAACUAGCUUGCAGAUUACUCCUGCAUGUAAUAUGCCUCUGUUGUCAAUAAAGAAUGGGGGAAAGGUUGCCAUUGUUAAUCUUCAGGCAACUCCAAAAGAUAAAAAGGCAAGCCUUGUCAUCCAUGGGCUUGUGGAUAAGGUCAUUGCUGGAGUGAUGUGCAUUCUGAGUCUGCGCAUUCCUCCAUAUAUACGUACUGACUUCAUUCAACUUCUUCUUCGGCACACAGUCAAAAAGAAAUGUGUAAGAUGGACUCUGCGAGUAACUAGCGUUCAUGGCAUGCGAGCACCAUUGUCAUUUCUUCGGUCAAUAGAGGUUUCCUUUCCAGACAGAUCUGACAUGAAGCCUGUAGUUCUUAUGGAGCAACCAUUUUCUUUGCAGAGGGAAACAUCAAUGACUAGCAUAUUUUCCAUGUUGCUGACAUUGAAGUUCAGUGAUGGUUGUGGCUGCUCAAGCUCGUCAAUUGAAUGCCAUGUUAAUUUCCAGAAGCAAAAGGAGAGUUUUGUUAGAGAUAGAAGCCUAGUCCUGCAGGAGUUGAAGUGCACUGCAGAGCGCCAGUCUCGUGCCGGGCAGCAAUCGAUUCUUGAAAGGGAGAGUCUGCCAAGAGCCGAGACAUCUAUACACGCGUUUGUGACCAACAUUAUCAGGUACGACGCUGAAGAUCUCAAGGUGGCUGAUCCUAAGGGUAGUUGGAUGAACAGCGGCAGCAGUACCAGCAGCAACCUCGCAAAACGGCUCGUGGAAGGUGCUAGUGGCUACUCCGCCUCGACAAAGAAGCUAAAGUGCUAG
rnacentral:rRNA from 1 species